rnacentral:rRNA from 1 species
GGAGUCUAGCAUGUGCGCGAGUCAUUGGGAAUAACUAAACCUAAAGGCGCAAUGAAAGUGAAGGUUCGCCUAGCGCGGACCGAGGGAAGAUGGGCGGUCACGGUUUCGUGCCGCUCCGCACUCCCGGGGCGUCUCGUUCUCAUUGCGAGAAGAGGCGCACCAAGAGCGUACACGCUGGGACCCGAAAGAUGGUGAACUAUGCCUGGUCAGGACGAAGUCAGGGGAAACCCUGAUGGAGGUCCGUAGCGAUUCUGACGUGCAAAUCGAUCGUCGGAACUGGGUAUAGGGGCGAAAGACUAAUCGAACCAUCUAGUAGCUGGUUCCCUCCGAAGUUUCCCUCAGGAUAGCUGGCGCUCGUCGCCUACGAGUCUCAUCCGGUAAAGCGAAUGAUUAGAGGCAUUGGGGUCGAAACGGCCUCAACCUAUUCUCAAACUUUAAAUGGGUGAGAUCUCCGGCUUGCUCGAACUUAUGAAGCCGCGAGACACGGAUCAGAGUGCCAAGUGGGCCAUUUUUGGUAAGCAGAACUGGCGCUGUGGGAUGAACCAAACGCCGAGUUAAAGCGCCUAAAUCGACGCUUAUGGGAUACCAUGAAAGGCGUUGGUAACUUAAGACAGCAGGACGGUGGCCAUGGAAGUC